GUCUGUCUGUCCAAUACGGCAACACCGGUUAAAUUCAAUGUAAAUAGAUGUGCGUGAAUUCAACAUCUCUGUCUUUAGACUGGAUUUAGUGUUUUCUUUCUUCUCUUGAGAAACUUACCAGUGAUAACAGACAAAGGAUUUUGGAGGAUUUUUCUUCGGAGUGUCUUUUGUAUAAAGUUUAGGUAUCCUAUAAGUAAUAUGGAAAUCUGUAAAAACUUUCCACCACCAGGACCUUCUUCACGAAUUGAUUUACAACCCCAACUCAGUAUUCACCAA